GCUUCUGCUGAUGAGACUGUUUUGGUCCCAGAAGUGAAUCCUGGCCAAAAGCAGGUUCUCCCUCAUCAUGAAGGACAGAGCUGCACCACGGAGCAGCCCUUGCCAUGUGCCAUUUUAGGUAGAAGCUUCCAGUCUGGCAACUAAAAGGAAAGAGCUAUGCCAAAGAAACUCUUAGUCAACUACAUCACGGUCUGGGAAGAUGGAAAUCAUCUGACAAAGAUUGUUCUACAUGGUUACUCAUCAAAACCUCGACUCGCAGCCUUCACUCUGAGCCUUCUGGAUGGUUGAACUUAGCUCCAACAAGUCUUUGUCCAAAGAACCAGAAGUCACGUUUUGUUCUAUUGAAGAAAUAAAAUAAAGUAAGAACCCAAUUUGGAGUA